rnacentral:rRNA from 1 species
AAUACGUUCCCGGGCCUUGUACACACCGCCCGUCAAGCCAUGGAAGCUGGGGGUGCCUGAAGUGCGUAACCGCAAGGAGCGUCCUAGGGUAAAACUGGUAACUGGGGCU